rnacentral:misc_RNA from 1 species
GAUGAAGAACGUAGCGAAAUGCGAUAAGUAAUGUGAAUUGCAGAAUUCAGUGAAUCAUCGAAUCUUUGAACGCACCUUGCGCCCUUUGGCUAUUCCGAAGGGCAUGCCUGUUUGAGUAUCAUGAACACCUCAACUCUCAUGGCUUGCCAUGAUGAGCUUGGACUUUUGGGGGUCUUGCUGGCCUGUGGUCAGCUCCUCUCAAAUGAAUUAGCCUGCCAGUGUUUGGUUGCAUCACAGGUGUGAUAACUAUCUACGCUUGUGGUUUUCCACCAGGUAACCUUCAGUGAUGAAGGUUCGCUGGGGCUCAUAAACGUCUCUCCUCAGUGAGGACAGAUCUUUGAACGUUUGAUCUCAAAUCAGGUAGGACUACCCGCUGAACUUAAGCAUAUCAAUAAGCGGAGGA